GAGCACGUAGGUGGGUUUGUAAGUCAGAUGUGAAAGCCUUCUGUUCAACGGGAGAAUUGCAUCUGAAACUACAGACCUUGAGUAUAGGAGGGGAGAAUGGAACUUCUGGUGGAGCGGUGAAAUGCGUAGAUAUCAGAAGGAACGCCGGCGGCGAAAGCGAUUCUCUGGCCUAUUACUGACACUCAGUGUGCGAAAGCUAGGGGAGCAAACGGGAUUAGAUACCCCGGUAGUCCUAGCCGUAAACGAUGGGCACUAAGUAGAGGGAAUUACCGAUGUUCUCUCUGCCGUAGCUAACGCAUUAAGUGCCCCGCCUGGGGAGUACGGCCGCAAGGCUAAAACUCAAAAGAAUUGACGGGGGCUCGCACAAGCGGUGGAGCAUGUGGCUUAAUUCGAUGCAACGCGAAAAACCUUACCGGGGCUUGACAUGGUAGAAGUAGGAACCCGAAAGGGUAACGAACGGUAUCCAGUCCGUAGCUAUCACAGGUGUUGCAUGGCUGUCGUCAGCUCGUGUCGUGAGACGUUGGGUUAAGUCCCCUAACGAGCGAAACCCUUGUUUUUAGUUACCAGCGGGUUGUGCCGGGUACUCUAGAAAGACUGCCGUCGUCAAGACGGAGGAAGGUGGGGAUGACGUCAAGUCAUCAUGGCCCUUAUGCCCCGGGCUGCACACGUGCUACAAUGGUCGGUACAAACGGAAGCGAAGCCGAGAGGUGAAGCGAAUCC
rnacentral:rRNA from 1 species